AUUGAACGCUGGCGGCAUGCUUUACACAUGCAAGUCGAACGGCAGCGCGGGCUUCGGCCUGGCGGCGAGUGGCGAACGGGUGAGUAAUGCAUCGGAACGUGCCCAGUAGUGGGGGAUAGCCCGGCGAAAGCCGGAUUAAUACCGCAUACGACCUGAGGGUGAAAGCGGGGGACCGAAAGGCCUCGCGCUAUUGGAGCGGCCGAUGUCGGAUUAGCUAGUUGGUGGGGUAAAGGCUUACCAAGGCGACGAUCCGUAGCUGGUCUGAGAGGACGACCAGCCACACUGGGACUGAGACACGGCCCAGACUCCUACGGGAGGCAGCAGUGGGGAAUUUUGGACAAUGGGGGCAACCCUGAUCCAGCCAUGCCGCGUGCGAGAAGAAGGCCUUCGGGUUGUAAACCGCUUUUGCUCGGGAAGAAAUCCUCUGGGCUAAUACCCCGGGGGGAUGACGGUACCGGAAGAAUAAGCACCGGCUAACUACGUG
rnacentral:rRNA from 1 species